rnacentral:miRNA from 1 species
UGACAGAAGAUAGAAGCGCUGA